AUGAACGCUGGCGGCGUGCUUAACACAUGCAAGUCGAACGAUGAAGCCCAGCUUGCUGGGUGGAUUAGUGGCGAACGGGUGAGUAACACGUGAGUAACCUGCCCUUAACUCUGGGAUAAGCCUGGGAAACUGGGUCUAAUACCGGAUAGGAGCGUCCACCGCAUGGUGGGUGUUGGAAAGAUUUAUCGGUUUUGGAUGGACUCGCGGCCUAUCAGCUUGUUGGUGAGGUAAUGGCUCACCAAGGCGACGACGGGUAGCCGGCCUGAGAGGGUGACCGGCCACACUGGGACUGAGACACGGCCCAGACUCCUACGGGAGGCAGCAGUGGGGAAUAUUGCACAAUGGGCGCAAGCCUGAUGCAGCGACGCCGCGUGAGGGAUGACGGCCUUCGGGUUGUAAACCUCCUUCAGUAGGGAAGAAGCGAAAGUGACGGUACCUGCAGAAGAAGCACCGGCUAACUACGUG
rnacentral:rRNA from 1 species